CUCCACACCGGCGCUGUGUUCAGUGGCCUGCCUACGUGAAUACGAGGAUCGCACCAAACUACACCGUUCUGCAUCCUCUCCCCAUCUAUUUUCAUCUAUCCGUCCUCCAUUUAAACCCAUCACUAGCACCACCUUGUCUCGCUGGGUUAAAUGGCUACUCUGUCAAGACGGUAUUGGUACUGCGCUUUUUGGCACCCACUCGAUCAGGGGAGCCUCAGCAUCUUCAAUGAUGGCUUCAGGUGCACGCCUGGAGGAUCUCAUGAAGAUGGCUGACUGGUCGAGGGAAUCGGUUUUCC